CUCUUAUCGAGAGUGGUGGAGGGACUGGCCCUAUGAAACCCGGCAACCUAUCAGCAAUCGUGCUGUAACGGUGCUAAAUCCUGCGGUGUAUCUUUAUACACUGAAAGAUAAGAG
rnacentral:ncRNA from 2 species